AUUUUUUUAAAUAUAUGUACAUUCAUAUAUAUAUCUACAUUACUAAAACUCAGUUCUUGACCGCUUUUCCCGAUCUGUGCUGCGAUUUCCGAGAGAACGCCGCCACCUACGGCCGUCAUUUUUGGCCACCUCCCUCAGAGCCCCCCUCUGCCGCAUGUGUGCCGAGGAUUUUUCCCCUCGAUGAAAUAUGACCGAGAUAUUAAUGUUUUUACAUCAUUCCCCAUUCUCUCUGCUGCCCCCGCUGGUGGCAGGGGAGGGAGGGGCUAUAAAACCCGGAAGCGACCCGCUUCAACUCACUUUCUUGCCGGCCACGAAGUGAAAAUGUCACGGCUCUCUGAGCUGCCGCUCUGCUCCCAGGUGAGUGCUUUUUCACCCAAUUGAUAUGUAUGUUAUUCACCAUGCUCUGAAGUUUCUUGGCAUUUUGUUGGAAAGAGUUUGUAUAUUUGUCUACUAUCUAUAUUGUGUUUGAACUGUGAAUUGAAAAUAAAAACCAUUUGAAUUUGUAUAUGUCUAUCUAUAUUGUGUUUGAACUGUGAAUUGAAAAUAAAAACCAUUUGUAUAUUUGUCUAUCUAUACUGUGUUUGAACUGUGAAUUGAAAAUAAAAACCAUUUGUAUAUUUGUCUAUCUAUAUUGUGUUUGAACUGUGAAUUGAAAAUAAAAACCAUUUGUAUAUUUGUCUAUCUAUACUGUGUUUGAACUGUGAAUUGAAAAUAAAAACCAUUUGUAUAUUUGUCUAUCUAUACUGUGUUUGAACUGUGAAUUGAAAAUAAAAACCAUUUGUAUAUUUGUCUAUCUAUAUUGUGUUUGAACUGUGAAAUGAAAAUAAAAGCCAUUUGUUAUUGAUGUAAAGCGUUUUGCAAAUUUUGUUUCUCCUGGGUUUUAAAAUGGUUGCACCGGUUUUCAGGUAACUAAAGCAAGAUGUCUAUUGUGUUUGAAAUGGUGAUGUAAAUUGAAAUGCAUUUGUUGUAACGUUUUCAGGCCAGUAAUGCGCGAAAUAACCUUUUUUAUUUCGAUCAGCACUGUUUAAAUUUAAAAUUGGCGGACAUUUUGUGAUUUUGGCGGUUUGAAGAUGGCGGCAAUUACGUCAUUUCCGACGAUCGGUAAGAUGGCGCCGAUGACGUCAUUUCCGGCGAGCCGCGAAGUGAUAGGGUCACGGCUCUCUGAGCUGCAGCUCUGCUCCCAGCACUGUGUUUAAAUUUAAAAUUGGCGGACAAUUUGUGAUUGUGGCCGUUUGAAGAUGGGGGCGAUGACGUCAUUUCCGGUGAUCGGUGAGAUGGCGGCGAUGACGUCAUUUCCGGUGAUUGGUAAGAUGGCGGCGAUGACGUCAUUUCCGGUCGGAGGCAAGAUGGCGCUGAAGAUGUGCACGAGGUGUUGAAUGAUUCUACAGACUGGAAAUAGUCAUCAAGAGGCAGUGAGCAGCAGAACACAACAAGACGCAACAAGACACAACAAGAAAUAGUCAUCAAGAGGCAGUGAACAGCAGAACACAACAAGCCGCAACAAGACACAACAAGUAAAAACUUAAUAAAUCUCAUCUUUAAAAUUUAAACUGUUCUUAUUAUUUUAAGAGUCAUUCACAUUUUAAACUUUAAUAAAACCUUUUUGCACUUUUAAUGCUGCGUGUUCUUCAUCACAAUAGAACCUAAUAGGCAGGAAUGGCU